AAGAGAAAGUGAGAGAAAAUGGCAAAGCAACUAUUGGAGAGUGCUUCAAGAGGAGGGACGAGUGGAGGAAGCACCCUAGGCUCACCAAUCAGCUCCGCCAUGCCCUUCCUGGUUUUGGCCUCAGAGUCGUUGCCUUAGGCGUCUACCUAGACGGUGAGCAGCAACCAAACGUACCAUCUAAAGAUUGAAUUCAUCAAAACCAUCAUCGAUUUUUGGUGCAAACUUUGAAUUCGAAUCUUCGAAACCGAAAAUGAUGCUGAAUCUUGGAAAAUCUCUCACUGAGCAAUGAGUUACAGAAGUUUUAAAAGGCAAUGUACCCUGGUGGUUAUACUAUAGAAGUUACAAGCUUAUCUCCAAAAGCAACAAAAAAGGAUAUUUAUGAUUUUUUUCACUUAUUGUGGUGUAACUGAGGAUGUGGAAAUCAUCAGGUAGAGUCCUUCUGCACAAUUUCUAAUUACUAAUUAUGAUUCCUUUUCCUCGAGUGAAAUCUGCAAAAUGAUGGUUUGGUCAUUGAUUAUAUAUGAAUUUAUUGUUCAUAAACUCAUCAAAUUGUUUGGAUGUUAUUUGGUUUGAAAGUGGUCAAAAGAUAAGAAUCUUUUCUGGAAUUUAUAUUACAAUUAUUUAAUUUCCUUUUUUUCUUUUGUCAUUUUAAAUAUCCAUAUGUCAAUUAGUCCAUUUGAGUGUCUUGUAAAAGCUAAUUUAUUCCAUAAGACCCUUGCUUUAAUGGAUUUCUAAAGGUAUAUGUGGAGAAUAUAAAAUAUUUUUCUAUAUGUGGAGAAUAUAAGAUAUUUUUCUUUCCAUCAUUUGGUCAAGAGGCUAAAGCUAAUAUUACUGAGAAGUUCAUAUUCUAAAAUGAGAUUGAAAUGUAAACAUAAUAGAAAUUUUAACUUUUUCAUGAAAGCAUGUUAGGAAUUGUCUUCUCUUUCUUUAUCCUUUUUUUUUUCAAUAAAAUUCAAACUCCAAGCAUGGCAAUAAGUUGGGAAAUUGUUUCAUUAUUCAAUAUUAAUGUGAUGGUUAAUAAUGCUCCUAACGAACAAUAACUUCCUCAAGACGGUUUAUUUCCACAUGUAAUUAUCAAUGUCAGACUAAGAAGACAAGAUCAAAAUUUGAAUCUUAUCUGUAUAAAAGCUGAAACUUCAUGGAGAAAUUUCCAAAUUAUCAUUGCUUUCCUUUGCCACCUUUGCCCAAAAAAAAAAAAAAAAAAAGGCACACUUGAAUGCCUUCUAUUAUAUAGAUUCUACAAUUUUAUGUCCUCAUAAAUUACGUGCUGUAGAAAUGAUUCCAGAUUAUGAUCCAUGUAGGGAGGUAACUAUCCAUCCAGUGCCAUAUUUCCUUUCAAAUUCUUAUUAACACAAAAGGGUCCUCUCUGUCCCAAUAUAAUUUUAGAAGACCUUUUAUUUGUUUGUUUCUCUUUACAGGUUAGAUUCAAUUGAGUGGUUAUUUUUAGCCUUUUCUAACUUGCUACUCUGCACAUGUGCGUAAAUUGUAUGUUGGUAUAAUUGAGUUAUUGGUUUGCUGGAAAUAGGUCUGGUGAGUAUGCCUAUACUGCAUAUGUGACAUUCAAAGAUGCUUAUGCUUUGGAAACCACUAUCUUGCUUAGUAUACCUUGUUGUUUACACUCGUCUAAAAUGAGUACUCAUCUACAUGAGCUAAGAAAAUAAAAUUGUGAGGGUAUAACUGAACAGUCAGUCCCCUUGCCUUUCCUCUCAUUCAUUUUUGUACAAUGGCGUAGAAAAUAAACAAAGAAUUUUUGGGUUUUUAGUUCUAGUCUAUUUUCCACUUUUUCUUCUUCUUCUUUUUUUUUUUUUUUUUCAUGUUCUUUUACACCAGUGCUUUCAAAUGAAAUCCAUUUAUUGAUGACUGAUGAUUUAUGGAUUUCUCAUAGCAAUCCCACUUCAAAGGUUUCGAGCCUAUAGUAUAACAAAGUUUAGUUUUCAUUAGGUGUUAAUAUUCCCCUUGAAUUGAAUUGUUGAAUUGUUAAGUAUUUUUAACAUCAACUCUUUAAUUUGACGAGAUUGCUAUUGAUUGGAGAUAUGGUGGAUCAAUUGAUUUGCUUUCUCUUUCCUUAAUUCCUUGUAAUGAUAUGCCGGGGUGCAACCAUUGUAGAUCAGCGAGUAUGCAUAACACAUUAAGGAAUAUAAACGGAUGAAGAUGAUUGUUGGAAUAGUAGUCCAUGGAACCAUGAGGGCAAUAGUGGUUCAUUGGUAACAAAUCAAUAGAAAUAAUUUCCAUUGGAUGGGAAAGAUGGGUGCAUCACUUCACAAGUCUUCGAGAGGACAGGCAAUAGGUUAAAACCUCCAUACCUUAUGUUAUGUAGCCCUUGUUUGGGAUGUUUGGAUAUGGAGGACCUAUUGCAUCUAUGCAUCUAGGAAGGCAUGCGCUUUUUCUUCGAAGACAAAGAAUUCCAAGAAAGUAUAAACGUUACAUCUUGAGAGAGAAGCCUUACUCGGUAGUUCUGACAGUGAACAUACUUGGACGAUAGUUAAGUUGCAUACUAGUUUCUUGAUCUGUCAGAGGGCCAUAUUUUUUAAUGCUUUUAUCUGAUUUCUCUUACAUCUUUGCAAUAGAACCACCCAACGGUUUUCAAUCUCUUGUACUAAUGGACAACUUCAUUUCCAUUUUAGACUGAUGGUGGUAUCAAAAAUCCCUCAAAAGCUGAAAUUAGGGACACACCCCAUGGAGAACUACUCUGUUUCUAUUAUUUUAUACUUUUGGCAUGGUCAAAUUGAGACAGUAUGUGUAUCAAAUAAAUUUAUUAAGAUGUAUACUUUUGUAGGAGCCGUAAUAUUCUCUAGGAGCUGUAAUAUUCUCUAGUUUUUAUUCAUAAAACACUUGUACAAUUUCCUCUUGCUAAUUCAGAUUUUGUUUUUAGUUUUUGUACA